AUCUAAGUGCAACACAUAUUGAUGGAAUCAGGUCAGGGUUGGAAAGCAGCAGCCUUAACAAAAAUAUGUGUGUGCACUUUUUUUUG
rnacentral:SRP_RNA from 1 species